rnacentral:lncRNA from 1 species
UAUCUAUUCGUCCAUCUCUAUUAGGGAUUUUAAUCUUGUUUCGGAUUCCGUUUUUCAACUUAAUGUCCUUAAUAAAGGAUUACCUAUUAAUUUACUGCUACUUGCUAUAAUUUGCUUUCCUUUAUCCAUUACGUAUUAAUCCACUUAGUCUUCUUAAAUUUACUAGAUUCUUUAGCUUUACCUAAAUCUAAUUUUUCUAGUUUAUUUAUUAUAUUAUUUAAAUGUUUAUUAUCUCUUAACUUUUCUUUUUCUAAUACUUUAACUCUACUUUCCAAUUUUUCUAAGUUAGGACUAGUAUCUAUUUCUCUUA